AAGACAUUGAAUUCAAAAGCGCUACAAUGCAGGUUGUGAUGAAACGCCUGGAUUGAUGGUAUAAUGUUGUUUAACAGCCAAGCAGCCCAUAGGAUUUGGGAAGGCUUUCCAGUGGAUGUCUUCUUUUCAUGUAAAAAGGUGAAGAAGAAAUCUCGAGAAAAUAAAUGGCAACUGCUGUUUUCUUGUUUCCUGAGACUGUCCCAGACAGCCUAAUCAGAUGGUAACAGUUGUGUGGGGCAGGAAGACUUAAGCAGUAACCUUUAAUGUAUUGGAGAAUACUUCAUGCGUGAACUUUCAAAGUUACCCAGCUGUCUACUAUGGGAAAGGACCCCCUCCAAUUUAGGGUGAUUAUUCUCCCCAGCUGCCAUGCAUUUUCCUACCCCAGGUCUUCAAAAACAUUUGGAGAGGUCCUUGUGGUCCUUGAGCAGAGGUCACUCAUUUGCCCUCAUUAUGGGUGAAACACUUUUGAUCAAAUAGCUCAUUAUACAUGGAAGUAAACAGAUGUGAAAGAAUUUUGGGAAACCCCUCAACCCACACUGAUUUAGACUUUGGAACUGUUUCAUGCUGCUCUAAAUUGUUCCUGGUAACCAGCAGUCCAAAGAAGACAUACAGAGAUCUUGAUACAGACUGUGGCAACAUCUGGAAGCACUGGAUAAAAACAGAUAAAGGAAUUAUCCAGCACAAGCAGAGCUGAAGCAAUGAUACUGCUUGUAAAAACUGCUCCUGUGCAAGAAUGUUAUUGAAGAAAAACUGAUGAAUAGGAAAAUGAGGUCAGAUUCUAAGACAUAAAACCACCACUCUUCAAGGUGGUAUCAGAGUGGACUUUACUCUGCCUUGUUUUGAUUAGACUGUGGUGAUGGUGUGAUGAUGGACAUCAACACUGACAGAAAAAAGGGACAUGUAAGUCAUCCUGAAGGCUUGUCAGUCCCAGAUGGAAACGGCCUCCUGAAUCAACUGCAGUGUCCAACUUCUUACUGCUGCUUAGAAGCACAUAUAUAUUUCAUAUGAAGAGAUUCAAACAAUUCAGGUUUGAAAACACGUUCCACAAUCAAGUAUGUGGAAUGCAGAGUUUCAGAUAUUAAGAAUAUGGAAAUUACUUUGGAUUAGACUAGAGGCCUAUCUACUCCAGUAAUUCAUUGUCAGUGUUGGCCAGAACCUUUUUACCCACUCAACAUAAAUCCUAAAGUGAUAUAAUUCUAUUAAAUUAUAUAAAUCUUCUAUUAAAAAAAGAUGCAAAUAGAUUGGUUUGUCCCCACAAAGCCUGAAUCCUAUCACUCUCCUCAUGGAGUACUACAGUAUACUUCUCUGUGAGUCACCAUCAACGUACUGAAAAGCAAAGCAGACAUCUUUCUCUGUCAGCAAACCAUCCUAUGUAUGCUGGAAGAUAAUGAUCAUGUUGUCUGCAAGGAAUUAUAGAAACCAGGAUUUGAUUUCUUAUAAUGUAUUUGUUUUCACAAGGAAUUUUGAAAACAGCCUGUGGGCUAUGUAUGCUCCACGUUGUGUGUCACAUGUGGCUGAUCUCUGAGAUAUUAUGUGAUACAGUUGUUCCUUGAUUGCAGCACCAUACCUAUUUUAAACAGGGAAGUAUAAGAAGAACAUGACAGAGCAGAUACUAAAAGGAGUAGUGUAAGGGCCUUGAUCUUCAAGGUAAGGUCAAGUGCCACGUCCCUGUGGGCAGUCACAUGGCCUGCCCUCCCAAAGCCAUGUUCUUGUCCUGUCAUGUGGUAUAAGGACCCAGAAGCCACCUCCCCACGUGGCGGCAGCCAUUUUGUUUCAGGCAACAGUUUGGGGCAGGGAGAGUUACGUUCCUUUAUCAAACACGCACAUUUCUAAAUAUAAAAUCCCUAACAAAGCUCUGUGAGCUGGAACAGCUUAUAGGAAUGUUGAGGUGGAAUCUAAGAGGACAAAUAGAAUUCAAUUGAGUGGUGAUUCAUGAAAUCAGAAUAAGUUGCACUAGUAUUUUUUUCUGCAGUGACCAUUUAGCUGUAGUGUGCAUUGAUAGGGCAUAAUUAAUAUGCUGUCAUUAAAAUGCACUGUCUUUCUCAUAUUGCCCUUAAUUAGUUUGAUUUCAUGCUCCUUAUUACUCAUCAAUUGGUAAUGGCAGGGCAGGAUAGAUGGGAUUUUAAAAUUAAGUAGUAACUUAGGAAUCAUAGCAUUUUACAGAAUUCAUUUCGUUGUGAGCUAAGCUAAGUAAUCUUCUUGGCCCUUGUAAGACUGAAACUAAGUAGGAACAAAGUUCACUAAAUAAAAUUAGUUUUAUUCUGCAUGCUAACGUUACACACGGAAGUAAUUUUCUGUUUCAUGUUUAUAGCUUUUUAAGGCAUUACUCUAUGAUACCUCCAAUAUUGGCUUGGUUAAUUUUCCCAGACAAUGCAUGAAAAUAAAUUUGAUGAUAAUAAUGACUAAAGAUUUUAACAUAUUUUUUAAUUAAAGAAACAUUUCUUUGAUUCUUUCCCCUGAGGUUUUUUUCAGGCUUCUCAUUAAUGUUGCAGCAUGAUUAUACCUUCAGGUUGAUCAACCAAAAAUUGUCAUCUCUAAUGGUGCAAAGCUGCCAUUUUUCUCAUGUUGUGUAGCAUUAACUCCACAAGUAAUCAAAUUCAAAUGCACUCAGUUGAAUUACUCAAUUAAAUCUUAGCCAACAUUGAGGAUGGCUGAGUAUCAAUCUCAGGAACAGCUUCCCAAUCAUCUGAGCAAGCACUUAUUUGGGAUCUGAUCCUGUAGCAGCUAAUCUGUCUUGAACUAUAUGUGCUAGAUUUAUCCAUGAGAUUGUUUGUGUGCAUAAACACAUGCAUAAAUCUUUGUUUGAUGAAGGCCUUACACAGUGUAACUAAUGAAAUAAAAUGAUUUGUUCUCUCACAGGGUCAUGGGUAUUUAUUUCUCUUAACAAGCAUGCGUGAUUUUUAUGGGCUAGUUUUUGAUUAUGUGUUAGACUUAGAAAAAUAUUUUUUUCAUGUGGUUAUGAAACCAUGCUCAGGAACUUACCAGUUUUAUUUUCUUAAUGGUGGUAUAAGAGUUUUUAUAUUUAUGUGAAGGCUGCCCCAGUAUUUGGUAACUUUUAACUCAAGUUUAAUAGGAUCAAAGGAUUAAUUUUUUUUUCUAAUCUGUGUUCAUAAUGCCACUUAUAUAUACUGAGGUAAUCAUGCAAAACUGUAAAAACAAUCA